rnacentral:rRNA from 1 species
CGCGUAGGCGGUUUCUUAAGUCAGAUGUGAAAGCCCAGGGCUCAACCUUGGAAGUGCAUUUGAAACUAAGGGACUUGAGUAUGGGAGAGGGAAGUGGAAUUCCUGGUGUAGCGGUGAAAUGCGUAGAUAUCAGGAGGAACACCGGUGGCGAAGGCGACUUCCUGGGCCAAUACUGACGCUGAGGCGCGAAGGCGUGGGUAGCAAACA